AGAUUGAACGCUGGCGGAAUGCUUUACACAUGCAAGUCGAGCGGCAGCGCGGGGGCAACCCUGGCGGCGAGCGGCGAACGGGUGAGUAAUACAUCGGAACAUGUCCAGUUGUGGGGGAUAGCCCGGCGAAAGCCGGAUUAAUACCGCAUGAGCUCGAGAGAGGAAAGCGGGGGACCGUAAGGCCUCGCGCGACUGGGUUGGCCGAUGUCCGAUUAGCUAGUUGGUGGGUAAAGCCUACCAAGGCGAUGAUCGGUAGCUGGUCUGAGAGGAUGAUCAGCCACACGUGGGACUGAGACACGGCCAGACCUCCGUACGGGAGGCAGCGAGGUGGGUAAUUUUGGAACUAAGUGGGGGACCAACCGUGACUCCGACGCCACUUCCGCGUGAGUAGAA
rnacentral:rRNA from 1 species